UCGAAUCCAAAGGGAUGUUGCUGGCCUUUCAUAGGCUGUGCACUCCCGCCUUUACAUCCACCUGUGCACUUGCUGUAGACUAGGAUUAAUUUUCGAGUCUAUGUUUUCAUAUACUCUUCAUAAAGUAAAUGAAUGUAUUUUAGGCUUUGGCCGAAAAAAAAAAAACAAUA
rnacentral:misc_RNA from 1 species